GACUCUGUAGUGAAGUUCAUGGUGGGUUGCAAGCUCAUCGAUGCAUACUAAUUGUGUGCCGGGGUCU
rnacentral:tRNA from 1 species